UACGUAGGGGGCAAGCGUUGUCCGGAUUUAUUGGGCGUAAAGAGCGUGUAGGCGGCCAGGUAGGUGGGUUGUGAAAACUGGAGGCUCAACCUCAGAGGUCGACCCAAACCCCCUGGCUAGAGUCCGGAAGAGGAGAGUGGAAUUCCUGGUGUAGCGGUGAAAUGCGCAGAUAUCAGGAAGAACACCCGUGGCGAAGGCGGCUCUCUGGGACGGUACU
rnacentral:rRNA from 1 species